GCCCUGGUAGAUCAGUUGGAAGAUCCUCCGCUUCAAGUAAUUCCAGUAUUUUCCUACCAAUUUCAGCGGACGACGCGGGUUCGAAUCCCGCCUGGGGCA